rnacentral:miRNA from 1 species
AAGAACUUAAUAUAACUUUAAAGC